AAAGUAAGUUGCUCCCCUUGACAUCAUUCCCCUCACCUUCUUCACCUUCUCAUCCCGAGGCAAAACCUACCAGUAUACAUUCUCUUCCUCCCCCACACCUUGCCUCCUCACUCCAUUCUCUCCCUUUCUCCCCGAGUCCCAGGUCCCUUCUAUAUGGCCUUGAUCACUCGACUUCUCUUCCUAUAAUUCUAUACAUCAUCAAGAAAUAUCUUGAGCUUGUUAGUUAUUUCUCUUCUUCUUCUUCUUCAAACCUUAGUUGAGUUGAUUGCUUGUACAUUCCAUAUGAUAUUUUGACUGAUCCAACCCAAUAGCCAGCUUUUGUUUCUGGAUCAUGCUAAUCAAAUUAGCAUCGCCCCACUUUGAUCUCUAUUAACAUAAGCUCCAACUCUUUAUAGUUUUUCAAUUUCUUCUUGGUGCAACGAUAAUCUCUUUCUUUUUGUUUGGAACUAACAACGAGGUACAUUUUCCCCUUGUACUACUUCAGCAUGCAGGUCAAGAAUUAAGUUCUAUCGGGAGCUAGGUACAAAAGAGAAAAAAGAAAAGGAAAUCCCUGAAUGAAAAAGAUAUGCUGAUUUCGAAGUAAGUGCUUUGCUGGACGCCAAUGAAGCUUCUAAAGAGAUUUAUAUAACAAUCCCCUGCGUAGAGCAUAUCCUACAGCUUGAAGCACUAUAGAAGACAUCUUGAGGUGGCCAUGGCUGUGAGAUGAUGAAAGGAAACCAGUCUAUGUUUGGACAGAACAUAACAGCAAGCCCUGAUGAUUUAGUUUCGACCAAAAUUUGUCAGUUAUCCUAGUUUCUCUUGGAACAAAUUUUUAAGCCUAUAGUUGCAAAAAUGGAAGUCUGUGAAUUCGAAACAAAAUAAAGUUGACCUAGCAAACAGCCGAAUGCACAUCAAAUUUUAAUUUUACUAGUCCAACUCUUGUGAACCAUCAUACAUGUUAAGUAAUAAAUAUUUAUCUAGUUUUAUUUAUUCUUCAGCCGCAAGCACAAAACUUAACCUAUAUAUAAUUCCUUUGUAUUUAGGUUAACUUAAGCAUUCAUAAUAAAUAUCUUAUUGAAAAUUAUAGCUUCUUUUUAUGUUUGAUCUGAAUUUCUUUAACAAUACCAACCAGCUCUGAGACAAUCUUCACUGGAUUUGGUUCUUUUCACGGCUAAUAAUUGAGCUGAAAGGCGUAACACCUGCAAAAGAAAUUAUUUAUUGAGCCUAGAAGAUUAUCUGAUGUUUAAGUAAAGCUAUAUAAGAAAAGCAGCCUUAAAUGUUAUAUAUUGAAUGUAGCAUCGUGUACUGAUGAAGAUGAUAAUUGCAAGUACAACGAGAAUACAGUAUGUUUGUGUGUGUAUGAAAUUGAUCAUCCUCCCUUGCCUACCUAGUGGUUCAUUGAUGUUUUUAUACCCAUGAACCACGCAUGUGAAAAGGGGUAUAUAUGGGAAAACACUAUAUGACCUAGUUUAGAGGCAAUUAUUCAAGAUAAUAGCCCUUAAUAAUUGAUGUUACACUGUUGAAUGAGAAAGAAUGGUGUCAAGUACUAGGCUAUAUAUAGGGUAUGAACAUGCUUUUAUGUUGUUCGGGCAUGUCUGUCUAGGCAUUACUGUGCCUUCGGGAUAGUGUUGCUACAUUUCAAAGCUAAAUAGAGAUGUGUAUGUGAUGGGCUGGUUGGAUUAACUGAGCUUCUCAGAGACUGCAUCACACCUCCUACGUCAAGCAAAAUAGUGAACCAUGUAGUGUAGUGCUAGAAGCCAAAGAAGAGAUAUUCGUGUUUGGAAUUGGGAGACCCGGAGAGGAUUUGUGGCUGAUAAACUUUGGGCUGGUAAGUGUUGUGGCUCUUAUCUAGUGUCCAUCCUAUGCCAAGACCUGGUGCCAUGGGGUGUAAGUUCUGCAAUCCUAGGCCAAUAAAUGAUGCAAUUAGUUGGGCUAAAUUGUAAGGUGCUGAUCCUGAACCCUGUCACAUACCAAUCAUGCAAUUUCUUCAUUUGCUCUAAACAGCCUAAGAUUUUUUUGUUUAUCUUUAUCUUUUUUUUCAAAUGAAUUUCAAGAAAUAACUAAUAGCAUAUUACUAUAGUUAUUGUAUUAUCAGCAUAAAUUUUCUCGUAUAUAUAUGAGGUAACUAGUCAUAAGAACAUUAUCAAUGCUGAAGUUCUAUCAGUUGAGUGAUAGCAACUGAUUCACUUUAUGUCCUUCAAUGUUGUAUCCUAGCUGGCUUCAAAUUAACAUGCGGAUUACCUUCGAUUUGAGUAACUAAUUACUUUUACAGUGCGAGUGAUUACUAUUCAGUAAGAAAAUUAGAGCCCUAAAAGGGGCCUUAGUGCUCUCAUACAAAAAAAAGAGAUGGACAACUUGGAGGUAGAGCCAUGGUGUUCGUUGCUGAUGGCAAGCGUAUUGUACUAUUCACAUAGCAAAGAGAAUUUUUACUGUAUCCUUUUAAGAAAUGACUGGCAUUAUAAAUUAAAGCAAGAUAAGAUUCUAAUGUGAGUGCAUGCAUAUAUGAUAAAAUGCACGUCAUUUGAAACCUUUACUGUAACCUUUCUGUGAAUUGUAAGUUAAAAGCAAAAUGAGAUUCUAGUUUGAAUAUGAUAGCUUAGUUGCAAGCUUCUAUAGCCAAUCCAGGCUAGAGCCUGCACGGUUGCACCCAUUAUUAAGCAGGAAUACAAAGUCCCCUAAGCAGGAGCUGCACGGAAAAUUCCAGCUACUUUCAGUUGAACUUUCAUUACCUAACCAUUAGAACAUAUCGAUACGAGAUGCAGA